UGAACGCCAUAAUAAUGGGUAUCCAGGGCC
rnacentral:piRNA from 1 species